UGGGUAGAAAACACAAAAAGACCAAUGGAGCAUAAUUUACAAUAAACUCGUUAUUAACAUGAAAACCUUUACCAUCCACUUACCUUGGUGAAAUUUAUGAAAACAAUAUGAGAAAAACAAUAACAUCAUCAUAAUCAUUGAAUAAUCUAAGCUGUAAAACAUAACACUUAUCACACCUCUUGUAAUUCAAUCAUUGUACAACAUAUCCUUUUUUCUCAUUUACCAGCAUACUAGUAUCCGUGGGGGUCCAUAGGGGUUCCGCUACCCGUUAACCU
rnacentral:lncRNA from 1 species